AACGAACGCUGGCGGCAGGCCUAGCACAUGCAAGUCGAGCGCCCCGCAAGGGGAGCGGCGGACGGGUGAGUAACGCGUGGGAACGUACCCUUUGCUACGGAAUAGCCUCGGGAAACUGGGAGUAAUACCGUAUGUGCCCUUCGGGGAAAGAUUAUCGGCAAAGGAUCGGCCCGCGUUGGAUUAGGUAGUUAGUGGGGUAAUGGCCUACCAAGCCGACGAUCCAUAGCUGGUUUGAGAGGAUGAUCAGCCACACUGGGACUGAGACACGGCCCAGACUCCUACGGGAGGCAGCAGUGGGGAAUCUUAGACAAUGGGCGCAAGCCUGAUCUAGCCAUGCCGCGUGAGCGAUGAAGGCCUUAGGGUUGUAAAGACUCUUUCAGUGGGGAAGAUAAUGACUGUACCCACAGAAGAAGACCCGGCUAACUCCGUG
rnacentral:rRNA from 1 species